GCUUACGGCCAUACCAGCCUGGGUACGCCCGAUCUCGUCUGAUCUCAGAAGCUAAGCAUGGUCGGGCCUGGUUAGUACUUGGAUUGGAGACCGCCUGGGAAUACCAGGUGCUGUAAGCA
rnacentral:rRNA from 1 species